CUUAAAAAAAAAAAAUCAAACCACUGGUUUUUUCAUUUUCUUGUGUAUAUCACAUUUUUCCUUGGCAAUAUCACCUUCCUCAAUCUCCUUAACCAGCGCCGCCAAUCUUCCCUGCACAUCUUAACGUGCGCAGCAACCAUGGCUCUGAGAUGGCGAUGCUAAAAAGCGCCGGGGGGAGAUGGGUUGUGCAUUCGGACUCAGAAGGUGGACCCACUCUAUUGCCCAACCUCCGCCGCUGAAUCCUCCGAUGAGUCAAACCACCGUCUCAUCACCGUUGGUCUUACCUGAACACGACCAUGACUCCAUUAACAACAACAUUGGAUUCCAAUUCCCAAGAGGAAGGUUUCUCCGCACAAGAGAGGCAUAAGGAAUGGACCAAAGGCUUUGAAACCUGUUCCAGUGAUCAUCCGCUGCAAGUAAGGACUAUGCUCCUAUUAUUUGCAAUUGACAUUUUAUGUUUCCCAUAUAAAUUUAUAGAUGCAUGACUCCAUUACUUUAUCUUGAAAAUUUUUCAAAACUUCUUACUACAAUGACUCUGGUCAGCCUGUGAAGUCACUUCCGCACAAAGCUUUGGUUCGGUGUGUAUUUAUAAAACAAAGCCUUUAAAGUUCGCAAGUCUUAAAGUUCAUAUGUUGUUAUAUCUUAUCUCUCAAAAAACAAAAUGUUCAUGUAUGUCCUUGAAUCGACUAUUGGAGCAGCUAUUUUUGUGAACUUC